GACAGAGGGGGGCAAGCGUUGCUCGGAAUCACUGGGCGUAAAGGGCGCGUAGGCGGGAUGGCAAGUCAGUCGUGAAAUCUCUCGGCUCAACCGAGAAACGUCGGCUGAUACUGCCGUUCUUGAGGGAUGCAGAGGAGACUGGAAUUCCCGGUGUAGCGGUGAAAUGUGUAGAGAUCGGGAGGAACACCGGUGGCGAAGGCGGGUCUCUGGGGCAUUUUCCUGACGCUGAGGCGCGAAAAGCGUGGGGAGCAAACGGG
rnacentral:rRNA from 1 species